rnacentral:rRNA from 1 species
AUGAUUUUAUUUUUAAAAAAUUCAGAAAAAGUCAAAACGUUCCAAAACUUCUUCCCAACAAAUUUGAGCUGUCGUUUCUGCCGUACCAAAAUAUUCUGUAAUGAAAUAUUCUCUGACAAAAAUGACAAAUUGCCCAGGACAUAUAGCAUGAACAGUAUCUCGUAUAUAGCGACAAAUUUGUUUUUUUUACGUCCACAACAACAUGAAAGUCAUUUCUUCACGAAAGAUUUUAUACAAGGCAACAAUAAAUCUCCUUUAUUUGCAAAAUGUUUCAGAUUUUUUGACUUUCUUACAAAUUAUUAUUUUUCUUAA